AUCACUAAGGGAGUGCUGGGUUGCUGUAAUGGACGCCUUGCAAAAGGCGUUCUUGCAGCUGUGUUAAAGAACCUAAAGAACAAAUGGUAGUUCUGUACCUCAACAAUGGCUGUUUCGUUUUCCUGUUACUUCACCACAAAAAGCAAACAGGUUGCCCCAGUGCUCCCAUAUUUUU
rnacentral:telomerase_RNA from 1 species